rnacentral:lncRNA from 1 species
GGGUUAGGUAGGAUUUAGGGUUAGGCAGGGUUUAGGGUUAGGUCAGGUUUAGGGUUAGAAGGGGUUUAGGGUUAGAAAGGGUUUAGGGUUAGGUAAGGUUUAGGGUUAGGUAGGGUUUAGGGUUCGGUAGGGUUUAGGGUUUGGUAGGGUUUAGGGUUAGAAAGGGUUAAGGGUUAGCAUGGUUUAGGGUUAGAAAGGGUUUAGGGUUAGUAGGGUUAAUAGGAUUUAAGGCUAGAAAGGGUUUAGGGUUAUGUAGGAUUUAGGGUUAGGCAAGGUUUAGGGUUAGGUCAGGUUUAAGGUUAGAAGGGGUUUAAAGUUAGGUAGGAUUUAGGGUUAGAAAGGGUUUAGGGUUAGAAAGAGUUUAGGGUAGGUAGGGUUUAGGGUUAGGUAGGGUUUAGGGUUAGGUAGGGUUUAGGGUUAGUAGGGUUUAGGGUUAGAAAGGGUUUAGGGUUAGAAAGGGUUUAGGUUAAGUAGGGUUUAGGUUAGGUAGGGUUUAGGUUAGGUAGGGUUAGUAGGGUUUAGGGUUAUGUAGGGUUAGGGUUAGGUAGGGUUUAGGGUUAGUAGGGUUUAGGGUUAGGUAGGGUUUAGGGUAAGUGGGGUUUAGGGUUAGUAGGGUUUAGGGUAGGUGGGUUUAGGGUUAGGUAGGGUUUAGGGUUAGGUUUUAGGUAGGGUUUUAGGGUUAGGAAGGGUUUAGGGUUAGGUAGAGUUUAGGGUUAAAUAGGGUUUAGGGUUAGGUAGGGUUUACGGGGUUAGGUAGGUUUACAAUUAGAUAGGUUUAGGGUUUAGGUAGUAUGAAGGGUUUAGGGUUAGGUUUAUGUAGGGUUUAGGGUUAGAUAAGGUUAAGGUCUAUGUUUAUGUAGGGUUUAUGGUUAGGUAGGAUUUAGGGUUUUAGGCAGUAGAAAAGGUUUAGCGUUU